rnacentral:rRNA from 1 species
CCUACGUGAGGCAGCAGUGAGGAAUAUUGGUCAAUGGGCGUAACCCUGAACCAGCCAAGUCGCGUGAGUGAUGAAGGUUCUAUGGAUCGUAAACCUCUUUUAUAAGGGAAUAAAGUGCGGGACGUGUCCCGUUUUGUAUGUACCUUAUGAAUAAGGAUCGGCUAACUCCGUGCCAGCAGCCGCGGUAAUCCGGAGGAUCCGAGCGUUAUCCGGAUUUAUUGGGUUUAAAGGGUGCGUAGGUGGCGUUUUAAGUCUGAUGUGAAAGUCUGUGGCUCAACCCUAGAAUUGCCGUUGAAACUGGUAGGCUUGAGUAUGUUUGAGGCAGGCGGAAUGCGUGGUGUAGCGGUGAAAUGCUCAGAUAUCACGCAGAACCCCGAUUGCGAAGGCAGCCUACUAAGCCAUGACUGACGCUGAUGCACGAAAGCGUGGGGAUCAAACAGGAUUAGAUACCCCUGUAGUC